CGUAGGGGGCAAGCGUUAUCCGGAUUUAUUGGGCGUAAAGAGCUCGUAGGCGGCUGAUCGCGUCGGUUGUGAAAGCUCAGGGCUCAACCCUGAGACGCCAAUCGAUACGGAUCAGCUAGAGGUAGGUAGGGGAAAGUGGAAUUCCUGGUGUAGCGGUGAAAUGCGCAGAUAUCAGGAGGAACACCGGUGGCGAAGGCGGCUUUCUGGGCCUUACCUGACGCUGAGGAGCGAAAGCUGGGGGAGCAAACAGGAUUAGAUACCCUGGUAGUCCCAGCCGUAAACGUUGGGUGCUAGGUGUGGGGAGGUCUUCAACCCUUUCCGUGCCGCAGCUAACGCAUUAAGCACCCCGCCUGGGGAGUACGGCCGCAAGGCUA
rnacentral:rRNA from 1 species